rnacentral:rRNA from 1 species
UGGGGAAUAUUGGGCAAUGGGGGAAACCCUGACCCAGCAACGCCGCGUGAGGGAAGAAGGCCUUCGGGUUGUAAACUUCUUUGACGAGGGACGAUAAUGACGGUACCUCGAAAACAAGCCACGGCUAACUACGUGCCAGCAGCCGCGGUAAUACGUAGGGGGCGAGCGUUGUCCGGAAUGAUUGGGCGUAAAGGGCGCGUAGGCGGCCUGUUAAGUCUGGAGUGAAAUUCCUGCUUUCAAGGUAGGAAGUGCUUUGGAAACUGGCGGGCUGGAGUGCAGGAGAGGUUAGCGGAAUUCCCGGUGUAGCGGUGAAAUGCGUAGAGAUCGGGAGGAACACCAGUGGCGAAGGCGGCUAACUGGACUGUAACUGACGCUGAAGCGCGAAAGUGUGGGGAGCAAACAGG